rnacentral:rRNA from 1 species
CCUACGGGAGGCAGCAGUCGGGAAUAUUGCGCAAUGGAGGAAACUCUGACGCAGUGACGCCGCGUGUGGGAAGACGGUCCUCUGGAUUGUAAACCACUGUCCCCAGGGACGAAGAUGACGGUACCUGGGGAGGAAGCUCCGGCUAACUACGUGCCAGCAGCCGCGGUAAUACGUAGGGAGCGAGCGUUGUCCGGAAUUACUGGGUGUAAAGGGAGCGUAGGCGGGGAUGCAAGUUGGGUGUCAAAACUACCGGCUCAACUGGUAGUCGCACUCAAAACUGCAGCUCUUGAGUGAAGUAGAGGCAGGCGGAAUUCCUAGUGUAGCGGUGAAAUGCGUAGAUAUUAGGAGGAACACCAGUGGCGAAGGCGGCCUGCUGGGCUUUUACUGACGCUGAGGCUCGAAAGUGUGGGGAGCAAACAGGAUUAGAUACCCUUGUAGUC